rnacentral:rRNA from 1 species
AGACUCCUACGGGAGGCAGCAGUAGGGAAUUUUCCACAAUGGACGAAAGUCUGAUGGAGCGACACAGCGUGCAGGAUGAAGGCCUUCGGGUUGUAAACUGCUGUUAUAAGGGAAGAAAAAACAGAGGAGGAAAUGCCUUUGUCUUGACGGUACCUUGUCAGAAAGCAACGGCUAACUAUGUGCCAGCAGCCGCGGUAAUACAUAGGUUGCAAGCGUUAUCCGGAAUUAUUGGGCGUAAAGCGUCUGUAGGUUGUGUGUUAAGUCUGACGUAAAAACUUGGGGCUCAACCCCAAAUAGCGUUGGAUACUGGCACGCUAGAAUUGUGUAGAGGUUAGCGGAAUUCCUAGUGAAGCGGUGAAAUGCGUAGAUAUUAGGAAGAACAUCAACAUGGCGAAGGCAGCUAACUGGGCACAUAUUGACACUGAGAGACGAAAGCGUGGGGAGCAAACAGGAUUAGAUACCCUGGUAGUCCACGCCGUAAACGAUGAUGAUUAGCUGAUGGGAACCAUCGGCACAGCUAACGCAUUAAAUCAUCCGCCUGAGUAGUAUGCACGCAAGUGUGAAACUUAWAGGAAUUGACGGGGAUCCGCACAAGCGGUGGAGCAUGUGGUUUAAUUUGAAGAUACGCGUAGAACCUUACUCACUCUUGACAUCUUCCGCAAAGCUAUAGAGAUAUAGU